rnacentral:rRNA from 1 species
AUGCUUACCAUGCAGUCGAACGAGACGGGAUGGAAUGACCCUUCGGGGGAAUGAAAUCCUAGAAAGUGGCGAACGGGUGAGUAACGCGUGGGUAACCUGCCCUAUGGAAAGGAAUAGCCUCGGGAAACUGGGAGUAAUGCCUUAUAAUAUACGAGAGUCGCAUGGCUUUUGUAUUAAACGCUCCGGUGCCAUAGGAUGGACCCGCGUCCCAUUAGCUAGUUGGUGAGAUAACAGCCCACCAAGGCAACGAUGGGUAACCGGUCUGAGAGGGCGAACGGUCACACUGGAACUGAGACACGGUCCAGACUCCUACGGGAGGCAGCAGUGGGGAAUAUUGCGCAAUGGGGGCAACCCUGACGCAGCAAUACCGCGUGAGUGAAGAAGGUUUUCGGAUCGUAAAGCUCUGUUAUUGGGGAAGAAAAAAGACGGUACCCAAGAAGAAAGUCCCGGCUAACUACGUGCCAGCAGCCGCGGUAAUACGUAGGGGACAAGCGUUGUCCGGAUUUACUGGGCGUAAAGGGCACGCAGGCGGUUUUUUAAGUCAGAUGUGAAAGGUACCGGCUCAACCGGUGACAUGCAUUUGAAACUGAAAGACUUGAGUAUUGGAGA